AAUAAUAAAUAUCAGUUGUUAUAAAUAUAAGAUAUUUUUUUGUAUAUUCAAUGACAAAAACGUUUUUUUUUUUUUUAAUUUAAAAAUAGUCAGCGAUCAAAGUAUUUAUAAAUAAAGGAAGGAGGUUUUUAGGACGUAUAAUAGACUUUUCUUAACCAAUAUUUGCUUCAUUGUUCAAUAUUUAGAACAGUUUGUUAAAUUUAAUAAUAAUUUUAAAAAGUUCACAGGUGAAAUCACCGAAACAUAAUCGAUCAAGAAUGUUUACACGAUGGACGCAGAAAUUUUCGGUGAACUUUUACAUAUGACCCUUUUGAGCAUUGCGAAAACUACAAACUUAUGUAGGCUUGUGCUUAUGUUUCGAAAAAACAUUUAAAAUGAAUUACGAUGAUUGGGAGUCUGGGAACAAAAGCAAUCAAAGCUUGAAGCCUCAACUCAAAAUUGUUCAAAAAAUAUGACUAAAACUUAGAUCCCCCUCAUUUUGAAAAGGGUAAAUAAAU